GUUCCCUAGUUGCCAUGGGAACCUCGCCCCGCUUAGAGUCCUGACCGCUUGACUCCGCGAAGCGCGAACGUGUUGUUUCUUCCUGAGAUUUGGGAGGCUGGAGGACAUCUGGGGGCCACAGUGCUCCUUUUCCUAGAGACUCAACUCAAGGUGAGCCUUUACACCAUCCUUCUGGCAGCCUGUGCUCCCACCUCAGAGAAUGGUUCUUCCUUUUCAUCCUUCUUUCCCAGUUCACUCCUACUCCGCAGGCCACAGCCUCUAGAUUGAGGGAUCAUAAGGACAUUAAAGGCUCAUUACACAUACAGAUGGCACUCUAUUGAAAGGACUGUCAACUCUACAGAAGAGAACCCUGAUAGAACAUCGUGAAAGUCUGGAAGGAUUAUGCCAUUGAAGAUGCCAUCAUUGUUAUGGAAAAAGCCAUGAAAGCCAUCAAGCCUGAAACAAUAAAUUCUUACCGGAGAAUACUGUGUCCAGAUGUCAUGCACAAUUUCACAGGAUUUAUGAUAAAGCCAAGCUAGGAAAUCAUGAAAAAGAUUGUGAAUAUGGCAAAAAAGAUGGGGAUGAAGGGUUUGAUAGGGAUCUCAGAGAAAUUUAAGAGCUUAAUAGACACCACACCAGACUAGUUAACAGAAGAUGACUUGAUAGAGAUGAGUGCUUCUGAACCCCUGCCAGAUAAAGAUAUAGAAGCAGCAGUGGCAGAAAGUAAAUGAACUGAGACAGUCUAGAAGGAGGAUUCUGAUUAUUCAAGACCACUUUUGACAUUUUUUUAUGACAUGGACCCUUCUGUGAUGCAGGCACUGAAACUAAAGCAAAUAGCAGAAGAAGGAUUAAUACUAUAUAGCAGGCAGGGGUCCCCAACCCCCAGGCCAUCGGAACCAGGCCAUACAGCAGGAGGUGAGUUAUGGGUGAGCAAGUGAACACAAGCUUCAUCUGCAUCCACACCUGCUCCCCAUCGCUUGCAUUACUGCAUAAGCACCACCUCUUGUCAGCUCAUAGGAGAGCGAACCCCAUUGUGAACUGCGCAUGUGAGGGAUCUAGGUUGCCAGCUCCUUAUGGGAAUCUAAUGCCUGAAUCUGUCACUGUCUUCUAUCACCCCAGAAGGGACCGUCUAGUUGCAAGAAAAGCUCAGGGCUCCCAUUGAUUCCACAUUAUGUUGAGCUGUAUAAUUAUUUCAUUAUAUAUUACAAUGUAAUAAUAAUAGAAAUAAAGCACACAAUACAUAUAAAGUGCUUGAACCAUCCUGAAACCACUGCCUUAACCCCUUCUAUGGGAAAAAAAGUCUUCCAUAAAACCAGUCCCUGGUGCCAAAAACGUUGGGACUGCUGCUAUUUAGAAACAUUUUUAGAGAAAUAGAAGUUACAAUGUAUUUCCGUAAAGUUACACCAGAGUGUGCCUGCCUCUCCUGCCUCCGCUUCCACCUCUUUUGCCUCUGCUGCCCCUGAGACAGCAAGACCAACCAUUCCUCUUCCUCUUCCUCAGCCUACUCAACGUGAAGGCGAUGAAGAUAAAGACCUUUAUGAUGAUCCACUUCCAUUUAAUGAGUAGUAAAUAUGCUUCCUCUUAUGAUUUUUUUCUUUUCUUUUUUUGAGACAAGGUUUCACUCUCACCCAGGCUGCAGCAUAGAAACCUUUUUUUGAGA